rnacentral:tRNA from 1 species
GAAAAUCCGUCGACUUUAUAAAUCGUGANGGUUCAAGUCCCUCUAUCCCC